CCAAAAACAAGACCCGGCGCCACAAACCCUGGCUGCAGGAACGGGCAGCCACUGCAGCACUUUCUGUGCUGAGCCUCCUGAUCCAGGCACCAAGCGAAAGGCCUAUUUGUCACCCAGGGGACAGCUCGCCCCAAUCAGCAAGGAGGAGGAAAUGCCAAGGAAGACCACAGGCCUUGCUUGCGUGAGGGACAUGGAUGAGGCUGCCCUGAGGAAGGACAUUGGCACCCU